AUUUUCAGUCCCUUACCCUGUUAGAUGCCCAAAUAAUCUUGGAUCUUGGAAACUAAGCACAGCUGCAUCUGGUUAGUACUUGGAUGGGAGACUGCCAGUGAAUACCAGGUCCUGUAGGCU
rnacentral:rRNA from 1 species